UACAGAGGUCCCAAGCGUUGUUCGGAUUCACUGGGCGUAAAGGGUGCGCAGGUGGUCGGGUAAGUCUGAUGUGAAAUCCCGCAGCUCAACUGCGGAAUGGCAUUGGAUACUAUUUGGCUAGAGGGUUGGAGGGGGGACUGGAAUUCUCGGUGUAGCAGUGAAAUGCGUAGAUAUCAGGAGGAACACCGAUGGCGAAGGCAGGUCUCUGGGCCACUACUGACGCUGAGAAGCGAAAGCAUGGGGAGCGAACAGG
rnacentral:rRNA from 1 species